rnacentral:tRNA from 1 species
UGGGAUGUAGCUCAGUGGUAAAGCAUUUACCUAGCAAGUACAAGGUCUUGAGUUCGAUUCCUAGUAUCAAAA